CCUACGGGCGGCUGCAGUGGGGAAUAUUGGACAAUGGGGGGAACCCUGAUCCAGCCAUGCCGCGUGUGUGAAGAAGGCCCUCGGGUUGUAAAGCACUUUCAGUGAGGAAGAACGCCUGGUGGUUAAUACCCAUCAGGAAAGACAUCACUCACAGAAGAAGCACCGGCUAACUCCGUGCCAGCAGCCGCGGUAAUACGGAGGGUGCGAGCGUUAAUCGGAAUUACUGGGCGUAAAGCGCGCGUAGGUGGCUUGAUAAGCCGGUUGUGAAAGCCCCGGGCUCAACCUGGUAACGGCAUCCGGAACUGUCAAGCUAGAGUGCAGGAGAGGAAGGUAGAAUUCCCGGUGUAGCGGUGAAAUGCGUAGAGAUCGGGAGGAAUACCAGUGGCGAAGGCGGCAUUCUGGACUGAUACUGACACUGAGGUGCGAAAGCGUGGGUAGCAAACAGGAUUAGAUACCCGAGUAGUC
rnacentral:rRNA from 1 species